UACGUAGGGUGCGAGCGUUAAUCGGAAUUACUGGGCGUAAAGCGUGCGCAGGCGGUUGUGCAAGCCAGAUGUGAAAUCCCCGGGCUCAACCUGGGAAUUGCAUUUGUGACUGCACGGCUAGAGUGUGUCAGAGGGGGGUAGAAUUCCACGUGUAGCAGUGAAAUGCGUAGAGAUGUGGAGGAAUACCGAUGGCGAAGGCAGCCCCCUGGGAUAACACUGACGCUCAUGCACGAAAGCGUGGGGAGCAAACGGG
rnacentral:rRNA from 1 species